rnacentral:rRNA from 1 species
AACUUUAAACAUAAGUUUUAAGUUUGAAAGAUGCAAUUGCAUCACUCAAAGAUGAUCCCGCGUUGUAUUAGCUAGUUGGUGAGGUAAAGGCUCACCAAGGCGAUGAUACAUAGCCGACCUGAGAGGGUGAUCGGCCACAUUGGGACUGAGACACGGCCCAAACUCCUACGGGAGGCAGCAGUAGGGAAUCUUCGGCAAUGGACGAAAGUCUGACCGAGCAACGCCGCGUGAGUGAAGAAGGUUUUCGGAUCGUAAAACUCUGUUGGUAGAGAAGAACGUUGGUGAGAGUGGAAAGCUCAUCAAGUGACGGUAACUACCCAGAAAGGGACGGCUAACUACGUGCCAGCAGCCGCGGUAAUACGUAGGUCCCGAGCGUUGUCCGGAUUUAUUGGGCGUAAAGCGAGCGCAGGUGGUUUAUUAAGUCUGGUGUAAAAGGCAGUGGCUCAACCAUUGUAUGCAUUGGAAACUGGUAGACUUGAGUGCAGGAGAGGAGAGUGGAAUUCCAUGUGUAGCGGUGAAAUGCGUAGAUAUAUGGAGGAACACCGGUGGCGAAAGCGGCUCUCUGGCCUGUAACUGACACUGAGGCUCGAAAGCGUGGGGAGCAAACAGGAUUAGAUACCCUGGUAGUCCACGCCGUAAACGAUGAGUGCUAGAUGUAGGGAGCUAUAAGUUCUCUGUAUCGCAGCUAACGCAAUAAGCACUCCGCCUGGGGAGUACGACCGCAAGGUUGAAACUCAAAGGAAUUGACGGGGGCCCGCACAAGCGGUGGAG